CCUACGGGGGGCUGCAGUGGGGAAUUUUGGACAAUGGGCGCAAGCCUGAUCCAGCCAUGCCGCGUGUCUGAAGAAGGCCUUCGGGUUGUAAAGGACUUUUGUCCGGGAGCAAAUCCCAGUGGUUAAUACCUACUGGGGCUGAGAGUACCGGAAGAAUAAGCACCGGCUAACUACGUGCCAGCAGCCGCGGUAAUACGUAGGGUGCAAGCGUUAAUCGGAAUUACUGGGCGUAAAGCGUGCGCAGGCGGUUGUGCAAGUCUGAUGUGAAAGCCCCG
rnacentral:rRNA from 1 species